AUGACCUCUCAUCCAUGACCUGCCGAAAGAGUUACUCUUUGGGAGUUACUUUUUGGGGGAUAUAUAUCUGUAACAGAACACCAGGACAAAGUGCAUUUGAACUAGAGCAGGGAUAAGCCCUAGGACUCAGUUGACCCAGGAAGGUGGGCCACACCGUGGGAGGAGGCAGUUGCUGCUCAAGAGAGGAAGUUACCACACUACAUGCAGCUGCCAGAAGGUGCCUUGUGGUGAGGACCCUUCUGUAAGAGAGAGUCCAAGGCAAUAUGCUGGCUCAACAAGAAAAAACAAGAGGAAGAAGCAGCACAAGACGAAGGCUAAAUAGUGCUAGUGCCAUUGCCUUUAGUGGAGACAGUGGUCGCGACAGUGGAAACUCCUGCAUUCUCACUGGUAAUCUGUUCUUUCUGUGGAACCUAUAGAUGGAUUUGGUCCUUAGGGCAUAACAUGGUCAUCCUAUAUAAAAACAGCAGGAGAAAUUAAGAUAGACCUAAGCAGUUGGUUUAUUCUUCUCCUUUCCUCAGCAAGGAGAAUAGGGGAACCACAACGAAUAUUUUUGCCUAAAUUUCUUCACUAUGAUUUAAAUUGGCCUUUAUUUCUCUUUUUUCACAAACUGAUUUAUACACACCCAGCUGUAUCUAAGAAGUUACCUGUCAUAAACAGAUAGUCAAGGGUUAAUAGAACAGAAGUACUUCAUGUAUCUUUUGCCUGUAAAGGGGUAACAAGUUCAGUGAGCCUGGCUGUCACCUGACCAGAGGACCAAUCAGAGGACAGGAUACUUUCAAAUCUUGAGGGAGGGCAGUUUG